UUGAGAAACACAGAGUCCUGCUCACCUUGUUAUAUUGCUUUCCAUGCUUGUGUGUUUCACAGAACUGACAACACAGACUCUGGGACACCACAGGCUGCACUGGACAAGCAGGGAGACCCCUGAGUGAUGAAGACCACCCACCUUCUACCAAGAGAAGCCUUCAAACCUACAGUUGGCUGGACCAACGCCCCAUUUCUGGCAAUGUGCACCGCACUCAACAGAUUCCUUUCCCGCUCACAUUACUGAGACUAUAAGGACACAGGAAUCUGUAGAUGUCUGCAUGUCAAUGCCUGUUUUGGAACUUCUUCGCAAUUCCAGGUUGCCAGCAACCAUAGUGAGUGAAGCGUGCGAGCCUUCAUGACCUACCUUCACUGUUUGUAUUUCCUGAACAGCUACUUGCUGACCUAUCGAUCAUCCACCUUACCUAAAGAAGAUGGAUCAAUGUAUCUUUUACAAGACGAUGCUACCAUGUUUCUUUACUUGUCCAGGAGGGAUGGGUAGCCAGUUGACUUUAUAAACUCAGAGGUCCUUCCUCUUAUCCUAUCCUUAGAAGAUUAUUUUCCUCUCCUCUUCCCCUUCCUUCCUUUUGACUCCCACACUUUUUAACUCAAUUGUCAGUUUGUUGGCUAUCAUUCUGUCAUUAAUGGCAACAAUUAUUACAAUCACAUUAUUAUCAUGUUAUUGGUAGAAGUUUCUUGUAACUUUUGUUUUUGACAGGAAUUGAGCUGGACCCCAAAGUCACCAAAGAGAAGCGACAGCACUGGCAAAGCUUUAUUUUUAAUCCCCAUUGCUUGGGCGGGAGACAGGGACUGACCAGACUCGAGCAAGAGCAGAACUACAGAAAGCUGAAG